UACGUAGGGUGCAAGCGUUGUCCGGAAUUAUUGGGCGUAAAGAGCUCGUAGGCGGUCUGUCGCGUCGGAUGUGAAACCUCGGGGCUCAACCCCGAGCCUGCAUUCGAUACGGGCAGACUAGAGUUCGGUAGGGGAGACUGGAAUUCCUGGUGUAGCGGUGAAAUGCGCAGAUAUCAGGAGGAACACCGGUGGCGAAGGCGGGAUCU
rnacentral:rRNA from 1 species